rnacentral:rRNA from 1 species
GACGAACGCUGGCGGCGUGCUUAACACAUGCAAGUCGAGCGGUAAGGCCCUUUCGGGGGUACACGAGCGGCGAACGGGUGAGCAACACGUGGGUGACCUGCCCUCAGCUCUGGGAUAAGCCUGGGAAACCGGGUCUAAUACUGGAUAUGACUCCAUGACGCAUGUUGUGGGGUUGGAAAGCCUUGUGCGGCUGAGGAUGGGCCCGCGGCCUAUCAGCUUGUUGGUGGGGUGAUGGCCGUACCAAGGCGACGACGGGUAGCCGGCCUGAGAGGGCGACCGGGCCACACUGGGACUGAGACACGGCCCAGACUCCUACGGGAGGCGAGCAGUGGGGAAUCUUGCGCAAUGGGCGAAAGCCUGACGCAGCGACGCCGCGUGAGGGAUGACGGCCUGUGU